AUACGGAGGAUCCGAGCGUUAUCCGGAUUUAUUGGGUUUAAAGGGUGCGUAGGCGGCCUUGUAAGUCAGCGGUGAAAUUUUGCAGCUUAACUGUAAAAGUGCCGUUGAUACUGUGAGGCUAGGAUUUGGUUGCUGUGGGUGGAAUGUGUGGUGUAGCGGUGAAAUGCUUAGAGAUCACACAGAAUAUCGAUUGCGAAGGCAGCUCACAAAGCCAAGAUUGACGCUGAGGCACGAAAGUGUGGGGAUCAAACAGGAUUAGAUACCCUGGUAGUCCACACUGUAAACGAUGAUAACUCGCUGUCGGCGAUAUACAGUCGGUGGCCAAGCGAAAGUGAUAAGUUAUCCACCUGGGGAGUACGACCGCAAGGUUGAAACUCAAAUGAAUUGGCGG
rnacentral:rRNA from 1 species